rnacentral:rRNA from 1 species
UUUAUAAUUACUAGCUGUAAAUAUAAUUUUUAAUUUGAAGUAAUUUGAAAAAUAUUUUUAAAUUUAUAAAAUAUAGUAUAUUUAAUUGAACGAUAAAAUAGUUGGCUAUAGUGUGAAAGUACCGGAGGGGAAAGUUGUAAUAAUAAAAAAAUAUUGAAAAAGUAGUAUUAAAUUUACUGUACCUUGUGUAUCAGGGAAAACUAAAAUUUAUAAUAUAUUAUUUAGAUCUCGAGAGGAGAGUGACUAGUUAAAUUUAUCAUUUUAUGUAGUAAAAUAAUAUUAAAGAUUUAACUAGUAAUGAAAUGUUAAUCGAAUCUCUAUAUCUAGUUAUUUCCAAAAUAAAUUUAAUUUAGUCUAUUUUUUUAAUUAAAAGUGGAUAAAGUGUAGGAGGGAAGAGCUUCUUAAACAAUUAAUUUUUUAAAGUAGUGUGUACACAAAUUAUGUUUAUAAUUGGGCUUAGAAGUAGCUAUUUUUAUAGGGUGUUUUUACCAAUAAAGAAAAGUGUGUUAUAAUGCUCUUUAUGUUAGGAAAUUUAAAUAUAUAAUUACGAAGUAUUUGUAAUAUUGGUAUUAUUAGUAGGUUAUAAAUAUAAUAAAAUGAUAUUUAAAUAUAGUUUAUUUUAUUAAUGAAUCUUGAUUUUAUUGAGGAACUCGGCAAAUAAAAACUUCUGCUUGUUUAUCAAAAACAUGUCUUAUUGAAGAUUUAAUAAGUUUGGCCUGCCCACUGAAUAUUAAAGGGCCGCGGUAUUUUGACCGUGCGAAGGUAGCAUAGUCACUAGUCUUUUAAUUGGAGGCUUGUAUGAAUGGUCGGACAAGAAGUAAGCUGUCUUAGUAAAAAGUAUUGAAUUUAACUUUUAAGUAAAAAGGCUUAAAUACUCUAGGGGGACGAUAAGACCCUAUAAAGCUUUAUAGUUUUUCUUAUUUAUUAAGAAAAGUUGUAAAAUUUAAUUUAUGAGAAGAAUUAUUACAUUGGGGCGAUGGAGGUAAAAUUAGUAUCUGCUUUAUUUUAAAAACAAAAAUUUUUGGAUUUAUACAUAAUGAUCCUAUUUAUAGAUUAUAAGUUUAAGUUACUUUAGGGAUAACAGCGUAAUUUUCCUUGAGAGCCCAUAUCGAGAGGAAAGAUUGCGACCUCGAUGUUGAAUUAAGUUGUCUAUUUAUGUGCAGCAGCUAAAUUAGAUGGUCUGUUCGACCUUUAAAAACUUACAUGAUUUGAGUUCAAACCGGCGUGAGCCAGGUUGGUUUCUAUCUUCUAGAAAUUUCUAAAUUUCUUUAGUACGAAAGGAUUAGGAAAUUUAAAUAGUUUAAAAUAAGUAAAUAAAAAAGUUAAAAGAUUGCUAAUGAUUUUGUGAAAACUAUUAAUAAAAAUGGUUGUUAAUAUUAUAAUUAAUUAGUAAAAUAUGGAUAUUGU